AUGUUUUAUUCAUGGCUUGGAACAAUAAAAGGACGCGGCACUGUGUUCAGGCCACCAAAGCCAACGUUCGACGCGACACGCCCACGCGCGCGCAAGUCCUGUACACAGCCGACCGGCCAUGCACACGCCACACCCAGCCGGCCGCGUCCGGCUGAACGUUGGCGGGCAGGUGUUCGAGACGACGGCCGACACGCUCACAGGCGCGGGCGAGGGAACCAUGCUGUGCGCCAUGAUGGACCCCUGCUGGAACGCCGGCGGCGCCGCAUCCGCGGCCAGGGGCGUGCCCGAGUACUUCAUCGACCGCGACCCGGCCUGCUUCGCUUCGCUCCUGGACAGCUCCGCACGGGCGAGCUCCACGUCCCGGCCGGCGUCCCGGAGAGGGUGCUCUUCCGCGAGGCGAACUACUACGGCCUCCUCGACCGCGUCCGCGCCGCUCGCAUCGGCGAGCUCGAUCUCGAGAGGGUCCGCCUAGCCGCGUCAGUGCCACCAGAGCGGGUGCCGGUUGACCACCCGGUCGUCCGCGCGGCGCCCGACGGUGGGUGUUGCAUCACGCACACGUACACGCACGGCACCACCGCGCGGGUGUACAACUGGAUGCUGGAGCAGCGCCGGCCGGUCUGCCUGACACCUGCAGUGUCGUGGGUCCGCGAUGCGGUCUACCUCGGCCCCUCCACGCUCCUCGUUGGCGGCUUGGGCUUGGCUGCUUUCUCGGCGCUUACCGGCGACCUAAGUCACCACUUCCGAUUACCAAACCUGGGCGAGAGUGUCGACCUUGACGCACUAGCUUUGGCCUCCGACCAGGAAACAAACAAAAUGUUUGCGAGCUGCAGAGGAAGAAGCCGCUACGCCGACAGCUACGGCAUCGGUGCUUGGGACUGCAUCACCGGCGAGCAGGCAGGCUCCUCUUUGCACUUCAACCCCGAAAGCAAGAUGGGCAGCACCAACAAGCUUCAAUGGCUGCCAAAGACCAAGACGCUCAUGUCGGCCAGCGUUUGGCCGUCGUUUUCCAUGGCUCUGGUAGAUUCCCGGGAUAUGAGCGUUGUGUGGUCGUGGUGGUAUGAGAGUGCCUGCGAGGGGAAGAACAGACGGGUUGUGGAUGCAGCCGUGAUGGAGGACGAGAGGUCGGUCUGCUUGAUCAGUGAGCACCAUGAUCUCGGGUUACUCGACAUUCGUAUCCAGGGCAACUCCGGAAACGUGCAGUGGCUACAUCAGAGCAAGAUGAGUUCGACUUCCAAGUGCAAUACUUCAAAGCUUGCCGUGCACGGCGGACUGCUCUUGGCGUCCAAGGAUGACACCAUCUCGGUGUACGGCGGCCCUAAUUAUGACCUGAGGCUGGCGCUGCGUGGGAGCCAAGGCGGUGGCGCCAUUAGCGACUUCUCCGUUGGGGGCGACCGGCUCUUUGCCGUGCAUCAGGAGAACAAUGUGUUGAAUGUCUGGGAAACGCCACCGCCUCCCAUUAUCUAA
rnacentral:rRNA from 1 species